rnacentral:rRNA from 1 species
UACGUAGGGCGCAAGCGUUAUCCGGAAUUAUUGGGCGUAAAGAGCUCGUAGGCGGUUUGUCGCGUCUGCCGUGAAAGUCCGGGGCUCAACUCCGGAUCUGCGGUGGGUACGGGCAGACUAGAGUGAUGUAGGGGAGACUGGAAUUCCUGGUGUAGCGGUGAAAUGCGCAGAUAUCAGGAGGAACGCCGAUGGCGAAGGCAGGUCUCUGGGCAUUAACUGACGCUGAGGAGCGAAAGCAUGGGGGAGCGAACAGG